UACGAAGGGGGCUAGCGUUGCUCGGAAUCACUGGGCGUAAAGGGUGCGUAGGCGGGUCUUUAAGUCAGAGGUGAAAUCCUGGAGCUCAACUCCAGAACUGCCUUUGAUACUGAGGAUCUUGAGUACGGGAGAGGUGAGUGGAACUGCGAGUGUAGAGGUGAAAUUCGUAGACAUUCGCAAGAACACCAGUGGCGAAGGCGGCUCACUGGCCCGUUACUGACGCUGAGGCACGAAAGCGUGGGGAGCAAACAGG
rnacentral:rRNA from 1 species